AAGAUUUUAAGUUAAAAUUAAACUUUUAGUCUUCAAAACUAACUAUAAAAAAUUUUUUUUUAAAUCUUA
rnacentral:tRNA from 1 species